AAAAAUGAAGGGCCUUAGCUAGGGUUCAACGACGGAUAAAAAAUUGCGCCAGCCGGUAUGCAUUUAGCGAGAGAACAUCGACGGAAACUAUAUUGUGGGUACGCGCGUUUUGUUUUUUCUAUCGCCAAUCUCUAGCUGAAAUUGGCAUAACCCAGUUCCAUCUUCACGAAAUGCAUUGAAAAUUCUGGUACGCGUUUCCCCUGGACUCUGGACAUGAAUUUUGAACAGAUGAUGGCAUAGAAGUUCCUUCAAUCUAUUAACCCACUUCCAUCUCACAAUCUCUGUUUGAACAGAUGACGAUGACGGCACUACUCACCCAAUUCCGGCAACCUCCGUAUUUUUAAGCUGAAAGUAUUCUUCCUUAGCUUUCGGAUUCAGGUAAAUCUCAUCCCUAUUAGGUUAGUUUUAGUUCAAUUGCACAAUAUACUUUGUUAGGGUUUAAUUUCUCAUUUUUUCUUUUUCAAUCAAUGUCCCUCUUAUCUCUCAGCAUUAUAUACAUGAAUAACCUUGAAAGUUAGAAUUAGAACUUGAUUUAGGGCUUGAUUCAUCAUAGUUUGUCAUCCAAUUUAUGAGAAUUUAAGGAUUCAGGAACACCAGUAGCCAAAACCUUUAGGUUUUCCCCAAUUCUCUUUCAUAUUUAGGAGGUGGUCUCUCUGAUAAGUCCUAUUCCCUUUUGAGGUCUUGAAGUUGAUGUGGUCUCUCUGAUAAGUGCUAUUCCCUUAUGAGGUCUUGAAGUUGAUGUGGUCUUGAAUCAUGAUGUUGACUUCUACUGCCAGUUGCUGCUUCACUUGGAGCCAUGUUAAGGCCAGUGGUACUUGUCACAGGAGCAAUAGCAGCAUAUACAGAUUUUGAAGCCAACACUCUCAUCUUCAUGCAUCUAUCUCUCAUCAAACCAUGUUUCAUCUUAUGCCCUUGCAUCCACACAUUUUCACAGAUCCUCUCAAGGGCACAGAAUCAUAAUCUUCUUCUUCUACUUCAUAGAAAAUUAC
rnacentral:lncRNA from 1 species